rnacentral:rRNA from 1 species
CCUACGGGUGGCAGCAGUGGGGAAUAUUCCACAAUGGGCGGAACCCUGAUGCAGCAAUGCCGCGUGAGUGAAGAAGCACUCCGGUGCGUAAAGCCCUGUUAUAAGGGAAGAAAAUGACAGUGCGUGGACAGUUAGCCCCGGCUAACUACGUUACGGCAUCCGCAGUACUACGUAGGGGGCAAGCGUCAUCCGGAUUUACUGGGUCGAAACGGGGUGCGGGCGGCUUGGCAAGUCAGAUGUGAAAACCCGGGGCCCAACCCCGGGAGUGCAUGUGAAACUGGCAGGCUGGAGUGCAGGAGAGGUAAGUGGAAUUCCUGGUGUAGCGGUGAAAUGCGUAGAUAUUAGGAGGAACACCAGUGGCGGAGGCGGCUUACUGGACGGUAACUGACGCUGAGGCUCGAAAGCGUGGGGAGCAAACAGGAUUAGAUACCCUAGUAGUC